GGUCCCGUAGCUCAACUGGAUAGAGCAGCGGACUUCUAAUCCGCAGGUUGCAGGUUCGAGUCCUGCCGGGAUCGCCA
rnacentral:tRNA from 2 species